GAUGAAGAACGGAGCGAAAUGCGAUAAGUAGUGUGAAUUGCAGAAUUCAGUGAAUCAUCGAAUCUUUGAACGCACAUUGCGCCCCUCGGUAUUCCGUGGGGCAUGCCUGUUCGAGCGUCAUUUAACCCCUCAAGCCUAGCUUGGUAUUGGGUGCUUGUCCCGCCUCUCGCGCGGCGACUCACCUCAAAGUCAUUGGCAGCCCGCAUCUCGCCGGCCGUGAGCGCAGCACAGACGCGCUCUUGGCAACGACGGAUCGGCUCUCCAAAAGCUUAUUUCAACCACUGACCUCGGAUCAGGUAGGGAUACCCGCUGAACUUAAGCAUAUCAAUAAGCGGAGGA
rnacentral:misc_RNA from 1 species